rnacentral:rRNA from 1 species
UACGGAGGGUGCGAGCGUUGUCCGGAUUUAUUGGGUUUAAAGGGUGCGUAGGUGGCUUGUUAAGUCAGUGGUGAAAUACAGCCGCUCAACGGUUGAGGUGCCAUUGAUACUGACAAGCUUGAAACAAGUGGAGGUUGCCGGAAUGGAUGGUGUAGCGGUGAAAUGCAUAGAUAUCAUCCAGAACACCGAUUGCGAAGGCAGGUGACUACGUUUUGAUUUGACACUGAGGCACGAAAGCAUGGGGGAGCAAACAGG